rnacentral:snRNA from 1 species
AGCUUUGUGCAGUGGCAGUAUCAUAGCCAAUGAGGUUUAUCCUCAUUGUUAAUUGAAAACUUUUCCCAAUACCCCGCCAUGACAACUUGAAAUAUAGUUAGCAGUGGCAAUUUUUGACAGUCUCUAUGGAGA